rnacentral:rRNA from 1 species
UACGGAGGGGGCUAGCGUUGUUCGGAAUUACUGGGCGUAAAGCGCGCGUAGGCGGACCUGCAAGUCGGGGGUGAAAGCCCGAGGCUCAACCUCGGAACUGCCUUCGAUACUGCGGGUCUCGAGUCCGGGAGAGGUGAGUGGAAUUCCUAGUGUAGAGGUGAAAUUCGUAGAUAUUAGGAAGAACACCAGUGGCGAAGGCGGCGUGCUGGACCGGUAUUGACGCUGAGGCGCGAAAGCUAGGGGAGCAAACGGG